rnacentral:rRNA from 1 species
AACGAACGCUGGCGGCAGGCCUAACACAUGCAAGUCGAGCGAGCAUUUCGGUGCUAGCGGCGGACGGGUGAGUAACGCGUGGGAACGUGCCCUUUUCUGCGGAAUAGUCCUGGGAAACUGGGGGUAAUACCGCAUACGCCCUUUUGGGGGAAGAUUUAUCGGAGAAGGAGCGGCCCGCGUUGGAUUAGGUAGUUGGUGGGGUAAUGGCCCCCCAAGCCGACGAUCCAUAGCUGGUUUGAGAGGAUGAUCAGCCACACUGGGACUGAGACACGGCCCAGACUCCUACGGGAGGCAGCAGUGGGGAAUCUUAGACAAUGGGGGCAACCCUGAUCUAGCCAUGCCGCGUGAGUGAUGAAGGCCUUAGGGUUGUAAAGCUCUUUCAGCUGGGAAGAUAAUGACGGUACCAGCAGAAGAAGCCCCGGCUAACUCCGUG